rnacentral:rRNA from 1 species
AUUGAACGCUGGCGGCAGGCCUAACACAUGCAAGUCGAGCGGAUGAAGGGAGCUUGCUCCUGGAUUCAGCGGCGGACGGGUGAGUAAUGCCUAGGAAUCUGCCUGGUAGUGGGGGAUAACGUCCGGAAACGGGCGCUAAUACCGCAUCCGUCCUGAGGGAGAAAGUGGGGGAUCUUCGGACCUCACGCUAUCAGAUGAGCCUAGGUCGGAUUAGCUAGUUGGUGGGGUAAAGGCCUACCAAGGCGACGAUCCGUAACUGGUCUGAGAGGAUGAUCAGUCACACUGGAACUGAGACACGGUCCAGACUCCUACGGGAGGCAGCAGUGGGGAAUAUUGGACAAUGGGCGAAAGCCUGAUCCAGCCAUGCCGCGUGUGUGAAGAAGGUCUUCGGAUUGUAAAGCACUUUAAGUUGGGAGGAAGGGCAGUAAGUUAAUACCUUGCUGUUUUGACGUUACCAACAGAAUAAGCACCGGCUAACUUCGUG